CUUGUUUUUAUCUUUGGCAGGCUGACACCAGCGUUUGGAGGGCAGACAUUCAGGAAGUCAGGUUUGUGCUCACAAUAUGUUGUUUAAUUUUACAUUUUUCUAGCCCGUGACAUAAACUUUGACAGUGCUGUGUAGGACGGUGUUUUCGGUAAAACACUCUGCAUGGGGCACAACAUGUCUGGGUUAAAAUACCACAUGUCGCUGCCUGUGACAGUAGGAGUCCUGCUGGUGGGCCUCCCUUACUCCAUCUCUCUAGCUGCUCAGUGGCUUUAUGGCUGGCCCGACAAACCUGGAUAUAAAAAGUACAUAGAAGCUCUAAAACCAAGGCGGAUUUACUAUUUAACCAAAGCUGUGCUGGAAUCGCUCAGAUACCUGCAGUAUGGGAAGCUUUACUGUCAGUGCACGUCGUGGUAUGAAAACCAGGAAAAUCACAAGCAUUAUGAAAAGGGCAUAACAUUUGGCCGCAGAGGCAACAAGCUGGACUUGUACUACCCUCCAAAUAAUGAGAAGUCUGAAGAUGUGUCAGCAGCACCGCUGGUGGUUUUCAUCUACGGAGGUGCGUGGGGCUCCGGAGAACGAUACGUUUACUGUUUACUGGCCAGGCAGAUGGCUGAAGAACUAAGUGCAACAGUUAUUUGUCCUGAUUACUGCACCUACCCGAAGGGGAAUGUUUUAGCAAUGGUCCAAGACGUUGCUGACUGUUUAGUUUGGGCCCAAGAGAGCGCACAGAAAUUCAACUUUAAUAAAGACAACAUUGUGUUGAUUGGGCAUUCAGCUGGAGCACAUUUGUGUGCACUCACCACACUCUUUCUCAUUGAUGGAAGGGAGGAGCUGUUCAUUGAAUCAAGCAAGCAGCAAGAUGUCACGCUGUCAAUAAAAGGAAUUAUCGGUCUGAGUGGGGUCUACAAUAUCAUGGACCAUUAUGAGCAUGAACAGAAGCGAGCAGUUGAAUAUGUCUCCACCAUGCACAAAGCCAUGAACGGAGUGGGAAACUUCGCAUACUACUCGCCAACACACUUCCUGAAGAAGCUCAGCCAGGAAAAACUCAACAGAGUGCCUCAGUUCACUCUGCUCCAUGGAACCAGCGACUUCAUUGUUCCUGUUGAGUCUUCCAUAAACUUUUCCGAGCUGCUCACCUCGCUGUCUGUGAAAGUGACGCUCUACCUGCUUCCUGGGGUCGACCACACUGAAAUCGCCACCGACCUUAUGGCAUCAAACAGGCGCUUCUACCAUCUCAUCUACAGCUGUGUCAAACAGGAGUUCAGAAGAUUUGUGGGUACCUGCUGACUUCAUCCGUCAGAGAGACACCCAUUCAUCAGUGUUCUUUAGUGACUGUGCCAUACACUUACUUUCUUUGCAGUAAGAAAGUAAUGAUUCAUAUUUAAUCCUGAAGUUAACUUAAAGUUUCCCUAGUGGUCUGCAGUGUUAAAUGAAGGACACGUAUACACAGUAUUAAAAAGGAUUCAAUCUGUACCUCAGAUGUUAGACCAACUGCAGUUAACAGCACAGUAUUUGUCAUUGUUUUUGUCUAUUUCAACAUGUAAUCUGAGUAAAUUUACUAGCCCUAAAUACAAAGAUACUGUAUUAAACCUGACUGAAUCAUAUCACCAUCAGCCAUUCAGCAUUUAAUGAUUCAUUUAGUGCCUCAGAGCUCUCUUUAUUUCCUUACUACUUUCUACUACAAAGGGGAUUCUUGGAGAGCUUUAGCCUAAUGUUUGACCCUCAGUAAGGGGCAUGUUGGUCCCUGGUGAUGUUAUAAAAAUAACAAUUUAUCAAUCCACUCACUUAAUCCACUUCGUCCUGCACAGGGUCACUGGAGGUUAGAGCAGAUCUCAGCUGUCCUUGGGCCUGGAUAGGUCCCCAGUCUAUCACAUGCACUGUACUAAAACCAUCUGGAUUCAUAUCAGACAGCUCCAAAGACAUAUAAAUAUACAUUGAAUCUAUAGGUUAUACGUUUACCAAGAGAAUAAAUGUACAUUUUUACACUCA
ensembl:lncRNA probable isoprenylcysteine alpha-carbonyl methylesterase ICME